UCGGUCAGCUCGUGUCGUGAGGAUGUUGGGUUAAGUCCCGCAACGAGCGCAACCCUUGCCAUCAGUUGCUACGAAAGGGCACUCUGAUGGGACUGCCGGUGACAAACCGGAGGAAGGUGGGGAUGACGUCAAGUCCUCAUGGCCCUUAUAGGUGGGGCUACACACGUCAUACAAUGGCCGGUACAAAGGGCAGCAAACCCGCAGGGGGAGCCAAUCCAUCAAAGCCGGUCGUAGUCCGGAUCGCAGUCUGCAACUCGACUGCGUGAAGUCGGAAUCGCUGGUAAUCGUGGAUCAGCAUGUCACGGUGAAUACGUUCCCGGGUCUU
rnacentral:rRNA from 1 species